CAGUUACCCAUGUCUUUGUUUUAUAUCUCUUGGCUUCCUGGCAUUAUUUUUAAUAGUUCUCCCAUAAUCAUAUAAUAGCUUCAUUUAUAAGGUCAUUGAGAUCCAAGAAAUAACAAGCGUUCAAAUAGUUUAGACGUUCCCAGCUGGGCUGUUGAGGGUGGUGUUGUAGGAUUUAGAUUGCACAGCAAAGAAGUUGAAAGUAUCAUAUUACAACUGCAAAAGGAGAAGAUCUCAGUAUUGGAAUCUACAGUGUCCUAACAGCUCCUUUAAACUUGGAGUAGUUGGUUAGGAGAAGGCAAGGGGUGCAUCGACAAAGGAGCAUUCGUUUCCCCACAAUGAAGGAAGCGGCUGAUUUAUUUUGCUAGUUUAGCUACAUCCUCCUGUCCUUCCCCCUCCUCCUCUGUAUGAUAAUGCCAGUCGUAGUAGUGAUUUUGCUCCUGGUCUUCAUUUUCAGCCCAAACUUUGCAGCUUUUUUACUCGUGCUCAAACCACCCCAGAGAAGGUAUCAGAAAGUAGGAGAAGAGAAGGUUGGGAAUGGGAAUAAUAAAGAGAGAGAAACUAGGCAUUGCAUGCAUGUUUCUAGUGACUCUAAAAUCUGUACCCGUGUUGAGCCAUCAGCGGGAAGCUAGGUGCCGCUGUUUUCUUCCUCCGUACAUGUUCUGUAGCUGUUGGUGACUAUGUCACACAGGAAAAAAAUGCGCUCUGGUGGCAGCCAGGAAUAGUUUUUUUCCCUCCUGAGCAACGAAUUGCUUUAAUUUUCUGAGAGCACUGGGAAUCCUAAAAUGCAUCGUGGUUUUUUUUCUUCCCCCUGUCCUGGAAUCUUGAACACUCUGAAUUCAGAUGUUGCACCUCCCAUCUCUGCCCAGCGGAUAAGCCCACGUAGGUUCCUCCUUUUAUUUUUCACCUGUAUAUUUUCUUCAAUCUGAUUUUCUUGUUUUUAUUUUUGUUUUAUGACAGUGUAUUGUAAAAUGAUCAAGACACUUUAUUUCCUCUUUGGAAACAAUGGCAUGUAAAUAAAUAGUAGUUAAAAAUGUGAAGGGAGAAACUCUGAGAUGGGAAGGGACCCGGGACAAUUACCCCGUGACGUUCAGUGAGUUGUUACGGGAGGCAGCAGCACGUAGUGUUUCAAUGCACAGGUUCUGGAGUCUGGGGGGUGGGGUUCCGUCUCAUGAAAUUGACGUGUGUUUGAUGGAAUCUUCUAGGUUCUCUGUAUUUUAGGACAUGACUGUCUUUUAGUCAUAGUUUAGUCAGGGUGUUAGUUAUAUGGAUUACUGGGGGACCUAUUAUCCCCAAAUUUAGCAAAUUGAAACAACACACACUCAUUAUUCCACGGUUAUGGUGAGUCAGGAACCUGGGCGGGGCUUGGCUGGGGCCUCUGCUUCGGGAUCUCUGAUAGGGCUGCAACCUAGAGUGUUAUCUGAAGGCU